CCGCCAGAGAACUACAAGUGAAAAACUUAAAACUCAAAGGACUUGGCGGUAUCCCACAUCGNCCUAGAGGAGCCUGUCCUUUAAUCGAUACUCCCCGUUCUACCUUACCUCAACUAGCCCAACCAGCCUAUAUACCGCCGUCGACAGUCUACCCCAUGAGGGUUCAACAGUAGACAUAAUAGCCCCCCUUGCUAGCACGUCAGGUCAAGGUGUAGCAAAUGCUGAGGUAGAGAUUGGCUACAUUUUUAAUUCUUAAAAAUAACGGAAUGUACCAUGAAACAGUACAUGAAGGUGAAUUUAGCAGUAAGAC
rnacentral:rRNA from 1 species